rnacentral:rRNA from 1 species
UACGUAGGGUGCAAGCGUUGUCCGGAAUUAUUGGGCGUAAAGAGCUCGUAGGCGGUCUGUCACGUCUGCUGUGAAAACUCGGGGCUUAACCCCGGGCCUGCAGUGGGUACGGGCAGACUAGAGUGCGGUAGGGGAGACUGGAAUUCCUGGUGUAGCGGUGAAAUGCGCAGAUAUCAGGAGGAACACCGGUGGCGAAGGCGGGUCUCUGGGCCGUAACUGACGCUGAGGAGCGAAAGCGUGGGUAGCAAACAGG